rnacentral:ncRNA from 1 species
CAGUCAGGGGAGCCCGUAGGCGGGCUGAGAGGAAGUGCUCAAACUUCGACCCUUUAACCUGAUAUGGGUAAUGCCAGCGUAGGGAGAUGUGA